rnacentral:rRNA from 1 species
ACGCACGCUGGCGGCGUGCUUAACCCCUGCACGUCGAACGGAAAGGCCUCUUUCGGGGGGUACUCGAGUGGCGAACGGGUGAGUAACACGUGAGUAACCUGCCCUUGACUUUGGGAUAACUUCAGGAAACUGGGGCUAAUACCGGAUAGGAGCUCCUGCUGCAUGGUGGGGGUUGGAAAGUUUCGGCGGUUGGGGAUGGACUCGCGGCUUAUCAGCUUGUUGGUGGGGUAGUGGCUUACCAAGGCUUUGACGGGUAGCCGGCCUGAGAGGGUGACCGGCCACAUUGGGACUGAGAUACGGCCCAGACUCCUACGGGAGGCAGCAGUGGGGAAUAUUGCACAAUGGGUGGAAGCCUGAUGCAGCAACGCCGUGUGCGGGAUGACGGCCUUCGGGUUGUAAACCGCUUUCGCUCAUGACGAAGCUUUGUGUGACGGUAGUGGGUAAAGAAGCACCGGCUAACUACGUG